GGGGGUGUAGCUCAAUGGUAGAGCUCCAGUCUUCCAAACUGGUGGCGCGGGUUCGAUUCCCGUCACCCCCUCCG
rnacentral:tRNA from 1 species